GGUAAUACAGAGGGUGCAAGCGUUAAUCGGAAUUACUGGGCGUAAAGCGCGCGUAGGUGGUUCGUUAAGUUGGAUGUGAAAUCCCCGGGCUCAACCUGGGAACUGCAUUCAAAACUGACGAGCUAGAGUAUGGUAGAGGGUGGUGGAAUUUCCUGUGUAGCGGUGAAAUGCGUAGAUAUAGGAAGGAACACCAGUGGCGAAGGCGACCACCUGGACUGAUACUGACACUGAGGUGCGAAAGCGUGGGGAGCAAACAGGAUUA
rnacentral:rRNA from 1 species